AUUGAACGCUGGCGGCAUGCCUUACACAUGCAAGUCGAACGGUAACGGGCCUUCGGGUGCCGACGAGUGGCGCACGGGUGAGUAAUACAUCGGAACGUGCCCGAUCGUGGGGGAUAACGAGGCGAAAGCUUUGCUAAUACCGCAUACGAUCUACGGAUGAAAGCAGGGGACCGCAAGGCCUUGCGCGGACGGAGCGGCCGAUGGCAGAUUAGGUAGUUGGUGGGAUAAAAGCUUACCAAGCCGACGAUCUGUAGCUGGUCUGAGAGGAUGAUCAGCCACACUGGGACUGAGACACGGCCCAGACUCCUACGGGAGGCAGCAGUGGGGAAUUUUGGACAAUGGGCGCAAGCCUGAUCCAGCCAUGCCGCGUGCAGGAUGAAGGCCUUCGGGCUGUAAACUGCUUUUGUACGGAACGAAAAGCCUUCUUUUAAUACAGGAGGGUCAUGACGGUACCGUAAGAAUAAGCACCGGCUAACUACGUG
rnacentral:rRNA from 1 species